GACGAACGCUGGCGGCGUGCCUAAUACAUGCAAGUCGAGCGGACCAAGAAGAGCUUGCUCUUUGAGGUUAGCGGCGGACGGGUGAGUAACACGUGGGCAACCUGCCUGUAAGCUUGGGAUAACUCCGGGAAACCGGUGCUAAUACCGAAUACAACAAAGGACCGCAUGGUCCCUUGUGAAAAGACCUUGUGUCACUUACAGAUGGGCACGCGGCGCAUUAGCUUGUUGGUGGGGUAACGGCCUACCAAGGCGACGAUGCGUAGCCGACCUGAGAGGGUGAUCGGCCACACUGGGACUGAGACACGGCCCAGACUCCUACGGGAGGCAGCAGUAGGGAAUCUUCCGCAAUGGACGAAAGUCUGACGGAGCAACGCCGCGUGAGCGAUGAAGGUUUUCGGAUCGUAAAGCUCUGUUGUCAGGGAAGAACCGCCGGGAUAACCUCCCGGUCUGACGGUACCUGGCGAGAAAGCCCCGGCUAACUACGUGCCAGCCGCCGCAGUAACAC
rnacentral:rRNA from 1 species